UCCAGACUCCUACGGGAGGCAGCAGUGAGGAAUAUUGGUCAAUGGGCGCAGGCCUGAACCAGCCAAGUCGCGUGAGGGAAGACUGCCCUAUGGGUUGUAAACCUCUUUUAUAAGGGAAGAAUAAUGACUACGUGUAGUCAGAUGCCCGUACCUUAUGAAUAAGGAUCGGCUAACUCCGUGCCAGCAGCCGCGGUAAUACGGAGGAUCCGAGCGUUAUCCGGAUUUAUUGGGUUUAAAGGGAGCGUAGAUGGGUUGUUAAGUCAGUUGUGAAAGUUUGCGGCUCAACCGUAAAAUUGCAAUUGAUACUGGCAGUCUUGAGUACAGUUGAGGUAGGCGGAAUUCGUGGUGUAGCGGUGAAAUGCUUAGAUAUCACGAAGAACCCCGAUUGCGAAGGCAGCUUACUAAACUGUGACUGACAUUGAUGCUCGAAAGUGUGGGUAUCAAACAGGAUUAGAUACCCGAGUAAC
rnacentral:rRNA from 1 species